UGGCAGAUAUAAGAAUUAUUCAUGUCUUAACGUUGUGAUUGGAAGAAAACAAACGAAAGUGAUAGUUUCACAAACUUUGAUGCAAAGAAAGACGUCCAAGAUUGAUAUGUAGUAAUAUACAUAGGCCCCAAGAAAUAGCAAAAUUUUCACAUGAUGCGACAGGCUACAGAUCAAACAUCACAGAGGUUUUGCGGUACCUGGGAGUGUCAAAGAAUGUGAUUCUGUGACAGAUUUAAAGACCAGGCAAUUCGUGAGGUGGACAGUUUUCAAUGACGUACAAUGAGAUACAUGUAUGGGAUGAACCCCGAAAGGAGAAAAUUCUGUGCAGUCUAGAUCCCAAAAAUACUAGAUUUAUUUUUAAAACUGCCAAAAUAAUCACUUAUAUGGUACUAUACACUAGUUGAAAUAUGGGUAAUACUGUCAUUGCCAGAUUUCCGAUUGAAGAAAAUAUUACCAGUGAAACAGAAUUGAGCGGGCACAGGGUUGUUCUUUAAUUCCGAAUGUGUAAUUUCGAAUUGGAAUAAGUUUAACUUUGUUAUCGAACAAAGUUCUUUUUUCUCUCUAGAAUUGCAUAAAUACAGUAUUGUUAAUGAGAAAAUUAAGCGCGCAAAAAAACAGGACACGACUAAGUCCUAUUUACCCUCAA